CCCUUAGAUGUUCUGGGCCGCACGCGCGCUACACUGAUGCAUUCAACGAGUUUCUUCCUGGUCCGAGAGGAAUGGGUAACCUUUUGAAAGUGCAUCGUGAUAGGGAUAGACUAUUGCAAUUAUUGGUCUUCAACGAGGAAUUCCUAGUAGACGUAGUUCAUCAGACUGCAUCGAUUACGUCCCUGCCCUUUGUACACACCGCCCGUCGCUCCUGCCGAUUGAAUGCUCAGGUGAGCCAUUCGGACUUUCAUCAUGCUGGUUUCCAGUUUUGAUGAAGGAAAGUCUUGCGAACCUUAUCAUUUAGAGGAAGGAGAAGUCGUAACA
rnacentral:rRNA from 1 species